GAUGAACGCUGGCGGCGUGCCUAGUACAUGCAAGUCGAGCGAACGGACGAGAAGCUUGCUUCUCUGAUGUUAGCGGCGGACGGGUGAGUAACACGUGGAUAACCUACCUAUAAGACUGGGAUAACUUCGGGAAACCGGAGCUAAUACCGGAUAAUAUUUUGAACCGCAUGGUUCAAAAGUGAAAGACGGUCUUGCUGUCACUUAUAGAUGGAUCCGCGCUGCAUUAGCUAGUUGGUAAGGUAACGGCUUACCAAGGCAACGAUGCAUAGCCGACCUGAGAGGGUGAUCGGCCACACUGGAACUGAGACACGGUCCAGACUCCUACGGGAGGCAGCAGUAGGGAAUCUUCCGCAAUGGGCGAAAGCCUGACGGAGCAACGCCGCGUGAGUGAUGAAGGUCUUCGGAUCGUAAAACUCUGUUAUUAGGGAAGAACAUAUGUGUAAGUAACUGUGCACAUCUUGACGGUACCUAAUCAGAAAGCCACGGCUAACUACGUGCCAGCAGCCGCGGUAAUACGUAGGUGGCAAGCGUUAUCCGGAAUUAUUGGGCGUAAAGCGCGCGUAGGCGGUUUUUUAAGUCUGAUGUGAAAGCCCACGGCUCAACCGUGGAGGGUCAUUGGAAACUGGAAAACUUGAGUGCAGAAGAGGAAAGUGGAAUUCCAUGUGUAGCGGUGAAAUGCGCAGAGAUAUGGAGGAACACCAGUGGCGAAGGCGACUUUCUGGUCUGUAACUGACGCUGAUGUGCGAAAGCGUGGGGAUCAAACAGGAUUAGAUACCCUGGUAGUCCACGCCGUAAACGAUGAGUGCUAAGUGUUAGGGGGUUUCCGCCCCUUAGUGCUGCAGCUAACGCAUUAAGCACUCCGCCUGGGGAGUACGACCGCAAGGUUGAAACUCAAAGGAAUUGACGGGGACCCGCACAAGCGGUGGAGCAUGUGGUUUAAUUCGAAGCAACGCGAAGAACCUUACCAAAUCUUGACAUCCUUUGACAACUCUAGAGAUAGAGCCUUCCCCUUCGGGGGGGCAAAGUGACAGGUGGUGCAUGGUUGUCGUCAGCUCGUGUCGUGAGAUGUUGGGUUAAGUCCCGCAACGAGCGCAACCCUUAAGCUUAGUUGCCAUCAUUAAGUUGGGCACUCUAAGUUGACUGCCGGUGACAAACCGGAGGAAGGUGGGGAUGACGUCAAAUCAUCAUGCCCCUUAUGAUUUGGGCUACACACGUGCUACAAUGGACAAUACAAAGGGCAGCGAAACCGCGAGGUCAAGCAAAUCCCAUAAAGUUGUUCUCAGUUCGGAUUGUAGUCUGCAACUCGACUACAUGAAGCUGGAAUCGCUAGUAAUCGUAGAUCAGCAUGCUACGGUGAAUACGUUCCCGGGUCU
rnacentral:rRNA from 1 species